rnacentral:rRNA from 1 species
UACAGAGGUCCCAAGCGUUGUUCGGAUUUACUGGGCGUAAAGGGCGCGUAGGCGGCCAGCACAAGUCAGUUGUGAAAUCUCCGAGCUUAACUCGGAAAGGUCAACUGAUACUGUGCGGCUAGAGUGCAGAAGGGGCAACUGGAAUUCUUGGUGUAGCGGUGAAAUGCGUAGAUAUCAAGAGGAACACCGGUGGCGAAGGCGGCUCACUGGCUCAUUUCUGACGCUCAGGCGCGACAGCGUGGGGAUCAAACAGG